AUACGUAGGGGGCGAGCGUUGUCCGGAAUGAUUGGGCGUAAAGGGCGCGAAGGCGGCCCGGCAAGUCUGGAGUGAAAGUCCUGUUUUUAAGAUGGGAAUUGCAUUGGAUACUGUCGGGCUUGAGUACCGGAGAGGUAAGUGGAAUUCCCAGUGUAGCGGUGAAAUGCGUAGAGAUUGGGAGGAACACCAGUGGCGAAGGCGAGUUUCUGAAAUGUAACAGAAGCUAAAAAGCGAAAGUGUGGAGAGCAAACAAGAUAAGAUAGCCAAGUAGUAAACACUGUAAAAGAUCAAUUCUAGGUAUAGGGGAUAUCGACCCAAACUGUGGCGCAGCCAACACAAUAAGCGUCCCGACUGGGGAAUACGGCGGCAAAAUUCAAUCUCAAAUCAGUUGAAGGGG
rnacentral:rRNA from 1 species